GCCUUCUUGCUGAGCCUGAGUCUUAGAACCGUCCUUCUUCUCCAUGACUUGCUGGAUCCCUUCUUGAUAUCCUUCAAUAAAGCUUUUGAGACCGUCUCUAUAAGCAGAAGCUCUAGUCAUGUAGACUCGCUGCAGAGCAGGCCUUAAGGUCUCCAUUCCCCCUCUCGCAGCCACCGCUAAUUAUUUUAAUUAAUUUUUGUUAUUAAAUAAAUUACAGAAUAAACAUCAGAAUUUAACACAAACUCCACUUGCAAUGCAAUUGUAAACACAAAAGUAACUAAAGACAUGAAUGAUAACAAUAAUUUAAUUUAGCUCACAUAAUCGAUAAUCAAAAUUAAGAAAGAAAUCUCACCAAGAUCUUCAAGCACGGAGGGUUCCUUGGGUUUAUCAGCAGUUGGUUGAUUGGCAUCUUCUCUCGCAUUCACAUCGUCAUUAUCCUUCUUAUAAUCAUUCGGCCGAAGAUCCGGACCAAUAUCCCUCACCCAGCUCGCCCCAUAAAGCCUCGAUGCCUCCUUCAACACCUUUACCCCCAAAAAAAAAUAAUUUUUUUUUUAUUUUUUAUUUUUUGAAUGAAGAAGAUCGAUGAAGAGAAUGAAAAGUGGGGGGUUACUUACUAGCCAACGCUCGUGCCAAGUCAGUUUGCGGCGUUUUUUGAUGUGAGGAGGAUCGGGAAGCGACGAUGGAAAUGCAAUUUCUUUUAAGUCGUAUCGAAUGUAAUCGUACACCUUCCGACAGACUACUUUUACCUUCAUUCUCUUUCUGCGUUUCUCUUCCGCCUGCGAACCAGUGCGCGGGCACUAGUACUGUUACUGAUUACACUUUACACACACUCCCUAAAACAGAAACAGAACCCCCAAACCAUUGGAAUAGGCUAGGAAAUUUAAGGGCUUGGCAAAAAGUCCAAGCCCUCUCAAAGCCCAUCCAAUCUGAACGGGCCUGGGCUGGGCUUGGCCUGAGCCGGGCCUGGGCUUCAACCAAAUUUUAAAUAAUUUUUUAAUAAAACUAUAAAUUUUAAAAUUCUAUAUGGUUGCUGCAGCGUUCUCAUCAAUUUUUUUUCUGACAAUUAAUCAAAUAUCAUAUAAAAAAAAAUUCUAUAUGAAAUUCUUUAAAUCCCUCUCUUCUUCCUUCCGGCCUAUUUAAUUUUUAGCCCUCUGCAAUUUGCUUCUACUAUCUCCAUUUUUAAUUGCUUUGAAAUUAACAAUUGCAUUUAUCAUCCUAAUUUCUUUUCUAAUGCAUCUGAGACAGAAUAUGAAAGAAAGAAACACCAAGUGGAUAAAUAGCCACCAUAUCCGCUUGCAAAGCAAACAAAAAGCCAAAGGCAAGUAUAAAGUCAAGAUGGGAAUAAAUAUACAUUUUUUUUCCCAGGUGAUUCAAGAGACUUUAAGAACAUCAAGCAUACUCUCAUUCACUUUUAAAGAAGCUGUACAAGAUGUAGAAUUUGAAGGCUAUAUAAUCCCUAGAGGUUGGAAAGUGCUUCCUCACAUACAUCCAAUGAAGGAAACUAGAAGCAGAAGGCAGUCAGUAGGUUGCAGAGAAAUUAAAGCAGAACGAGAAAAUUAAUUCAAAUAUUACGUGGUUGCUGCAGCGUCGCACAGCUGUGCUUGUGGGUGGGGUUCGCUGCUGCGUCGUGCGGGAGAUGCUGGGUGGGCCAGGUGGGUUGCGCGGGAGAUGCUGGCUGAUGGAAUCUAGAUGCGCUGUUGGCUGCCGGCGGCGAGAACAGUGAGAAGCUGGCACGGUGACGGUGAGUGAGGGUGCUGACGCCGCUGACGGAAAUGAGGGAUUUAGAUUUUAGGGAUUUUGGUUUCGGGUCUUGGAACGGAGCAGUGAGAGGCUGAGAGCAGUGUUUUAUUUUUCAAUUUUUCAGUUUUUUUAAUUUGAUUUUAAUAAUAUAUUAUAAAGUUUUUAAUUUAAAAAAAUAUAUAUAUUAUUUAUUAUAAGCCCGGGCCUAAGCCUGAGCUUUUGGGUGAAGCCCUUGACUGAGCCUAUUAUAUAUGGGCCUUCGAAAUUACAAGUCCUUAUCCAUCAUUCUAAGCCACGGGCUGGGCUUAAAAUCCGCGGGCCUGGGCCGGCCUGAGCUUUUCUACAGAUCUUAUUUUGGAAUGCGACGGCUGCGAGUGUCAGUUUUGGUAAAGUUUGGGCCUCCGAUUUUUGGGUGGGCUUUGUCUUAGCUAGCCAGCGCUCUUCUUUUUCCUCCUCAAGAAAAAUAAAUAUAUAGGGAAAAAUUGUAGGGCAAUUGUGGUACCGUGCCACAAUUACAUUCAGUCAUUGAAUUUUAAUGGACCCCACCUAUUUAAGUGGAUCUAACGACUGGAUGCAACUGUGGUACGGUACCACAGUUGCAUCGUAGCCAGACCCAAAUAUAUAUUACUACUGUUAUUAUUAUUAUUAUUAUUAUUAUUAUUAUUAUUAUUAUUAUUAUUAUUAUUAUUAGGAAAAAGGAUAAACACACCCACAACGUUUAGGUAAAGGGACAAAAACCCUCUUAAUGUUUCAAAAAAAAUAUUUACACCCCAAUUUAUUAUAAUUUUACCAUUAUACCUUUCUAGCAUAUAAAAAAAAAUUAUUAGAUUAUCCAAUUUAUCUAUAUAUUGUUAAUAAAAUUAUAAAUAGACAAAUUGGAUAUUAUAAAAAAUUAUAAAUAUACCCUCAUUGCCCAAUUCCUCUAUUUAAAUUUUUAUCAGUAAUCAAUUUUCAAAAAAGACAUCUAUACAUCUAAAAAAAUUAUAAUUUAAAAAAUAAAAUUAGUUAUUAAUAACCAAUUUUAUUUAAACUUUAAACUUGUAUAUUUAACAAUUCUCCACAUAUCAAUCAUUUAAACUUGUACAUUUAUAACCAAUUUUCUAUGUUAUUUAUUAUGGUAUUAAUAACCAAUUUUAUUUUUAAAAGUAUAAUUUAUUUAUAAUUUUUUUAAGUGUAUAUAUGUCUUUUUUGAAAAUUGUUUAUUAAUAAAAAUUUAAAUAGAGAAAUGAGGCAAUAUAAGUAUAUUUAUAAUUUUAUUAACAAUAUAUAGAUAAAUUAGAUAAUCUAAUAUUUGUUUAUAUGCUAAAAGAGUAUAAUGAUAAAAUUAUAAUAAAUUGGGAGUGUAAAUAUUUUUUUUAAAAUAUUAAAAAAAAUUUAUCCUUUUAGCUAAACGUUAGGAGUGUGUUUGUCUUUUUCCCUUAUUAUUAUUAGAAAAAGAUUUUAUUUUGUAAACUAGACACUAGUAGAGUUUUUCGGGUCAUUGCCUUCUUGCUGAGCCUGAGUCCUAGAACUGUCCUUCUUCUCCAUGACUUGCUGGAUCCCUUCUUGAUAUCCUUCAAUAAAGCUUUUGAGAGCGUCUCUAUAAGCAGAAGCUCUAGUCAUGUAGACUCGCUGCAGAGCAGGCCUUAAGGUCUCCAUUCCCCCUCUCGCAGCCACCGCUAAUUAUUUUAAUUAAUUUUUGUUAUUAAAUAAAUUACAGAAUAAACAUCAGAAUUUAACACAAACUCCACUUGCAAUGCAAUUGUAAACACAAAAGUAACUAAAGACAUGAAUGAUAACAAUAAUUUAAUUUAGCUCACAUAAUCGAUAAUCAAAAUUAAGAA
rnacentral:lncRNA from 1 species